UGGGGAAUAUUGCACAAUGGGCGCAAGCCUGAUGCAGCCAUGCCGCGUGUGUGAAGAAGGCCUUCGGGUUGUAAAGCACUUUCAGCGAGGAGGAAGGCAUAAAGGUUAAUAACCUUUGUGAUUGACGUUACUCGCAGAAGAAGCACCGGCUAACUCCGUGCCAGCAGCCGCGGUAAUACGGAGGGUGCAAGCGUUAAUCGGAAUUACUGGGCGUAAAGCGCACGCAGGCGGUUUGUUAAGUCAGAUGUGAAAUCCCCGCGCUUAACGUGGGAACUGCAUUUGAAAUUGGCAAGCUAGAGUCUUGUAGAGGGGGGUAGAAUUCCAGGUGUAGCGGUGAAAUGCGUAGAGAUCUGGAGGAAUACCGGUGGCGAAGGCGGCCCCCUGGACAAAGACUGACGCUCAGGUGCGAAAGCGUGGGGAGCAAACA
rnacentral:rRNA from 1 species